rnacentral:rRNA from 1 species
UACCUACGGGGCGCAGCAGUGAGGAAUAUUGGUCAAUGGGCGCGAGCCUGAACCAGCCAAGUCGCGUGAGGGAAGACGGUCCUAUGGAUUGUAAACCUCUUUUGUCAGGGAACAAAGGCGGGGACUAGUCCCCGGAUGAGGGUACCUGAAGAAAAAGCAUCGGCUAACUCCGUGCCAGCAGCCGCGGUAAUACGGAGGAUGCGAGCGUUAUCCGGAUUUAUUGGGUUUAAAGGGUGCGCAGGCGGCCUGUUAAGUCAGCGGUAAAAGCCCGGGGCUCAACCCCGGCGAGCCGUUGAAACUGGCGG